CAGAGGCUGGACUAGAACAUGGGUCUCCUAAACCCCAGAUCAACACUCCUUCCAACUAUGCCAACCACACUGGUGCCUGAAAUGAAGACUCUUCAAAUCUGACAGCUAGCUGGAGAGAAGUCUACACAAAAACAAUCUUGUUUUCUAGAAACUGUCAGUUUCCAGCUCCCUCCCUGGAGUUCAUCAGAGAGCAUCAGCUUUGCUGGCAUCUUUAGCAUCUUCUCACUGUGACUUCUCACCCAUCAGCUAGUCAGCACCGAGUGGGACGCCUUGGCCUCUGCACGUAGGAUUUCAAAGGCCCAGAUGUCAGAGGCUGAUGCUCAAUUCACUGAGCCACAACAGCCAGGGCCCCUACUACUUCUUAAAAACAGCUUUACUGAGUGCAACCACUAAAGAAAGCAGUAUGGAGUUACACCUCUGGGAAUAUAUUCAAAGAAACCCAAAAUACUAAUUCAAAAGACUCUAUGUACUCCUGUGUUCAUUUCAGCAUUAUUUGCAAUAGCCAAGAUUUGGAAGGAACCCAAGUGUUCAUCAGUAGAUGAGUGGAUAAAAAAGCUGUGGUACAUUUACACAGUGGAAUACUUCAUGGCUAUAAAAAAGAAGGAACUCUUACUUUUUGCAACAGCAUGAAUGCACAUGGAGAGUAUAAUGCUAAGUGAAAUAAGCCAGUGAGAGAAAGGCAAAUGCCAUAUGAUUUCACUUAUAUGUGGUCAAUGGAAUCUAAUGAACUAAAUGAACUAACAAACAUACUCAUAGAUACAGAGAGCAGACUGACAGCUGUCAGA